rnacentral:lncRNA from 1 species
AGCGACUAACCCUAACUCCACCAGAAUUCGAACCGCCCACAACCCCCUGAACUCCUAAGCAAAUACCACCACAGUCGCCACCCUCCCUUACACAAAGAGGCAGCGAUCAUUUCUCCAUCCUAAAAACCAACAACGAUCCCUUCUUCUUGGACCUCUAAAGAACGGCAGCCAUGACCCUACAAAGACACACAACCUAACGCCUCCAUUUCCUGUCCGGUGAGCUCGCCGGAAAACGAGCUACACCAGCCACCGACUACCCUGGUUCAUAACCCGCGUCUGAAAUUGUAGAGCUAGAAAAUAUUAAAGAAAAGGGAUUAAGAAGGAAUUUCUGAUUUGCUUCAAAUUCGUUCGAUUUGUCAUCUCUCGAAUUGUUGUGAUAUCGUUGUUCCUUCCGCCGGCGCAAGGCUCUGUUCGAGGUUCCAUUUCCGUUGGCAUCUCUAGUCGCGGCAAGUUUUAGGCCAGAUUCUCAUUUUGCUUUUUCGGCUAAACAGAAAUGUUACUCUGAGUUCCAUUAAUCGGAGAAUAAUUCGCUCAAGAAGGUCCAUUUCUUAUACCUAUCUCAUUAUGUUAGUUCAUGAAUUGUGUUAAUUGUUGAUGGUUCUUCUAUCCUUUGUUUGAUCAAUUUAGUCUGCCUGAUCAGUUCACUGCCUUGAUUUCAUGAUAAACCUUGAUGAAUGCUUUAGGUCAUUAUGUGGAUAACUGAAAUGAAAAUUGGAUAACAUUCAUCGUUGAAGGAUUCAGUGGGUGUUGGGAUAAUUAUUCUGAACUAACUGAAACGAACCGAGUUAAUGGAAAGACAAAGAACAGUUGAUGAUCUAGUGCUGCUUUAAAUUCAUUUUACUUACUUAAGCACCACUAGAGCAUGUUUAGGCCGACCAUCCCGGGUAGGCGAACCUUUAGGCGCGCUUUGAAUUUAUUAUCGUGAUUAUGUACACGUCAGCGUGACAUGACUACGGUCUCUAAAAUGAAUAUUCAUAGCUUGCUUUAGGCGCGACUUAAUCUAUCAUCGUGAUUGUGUACACGUUCGCAUGACAUAAUUAUGAUUUUUCUAAAAAUAAAUCGAGGUAUGCGUUCGCGCAACUUCGGCCAGACUUUCUUAAUAAUAAUAAUUCGUGAUUAAUUGUGGACACGUACGCGUGACAUGAUUCUUGACGCGCCAAAUGAAAUGGGUACACGUACGCGUGACUCGUUUCAAGAUAACUCCUUAAUUACGAAUAAUCAAGCAAUUAAAAGAGGUAAAAGGUAAAAAUAUACGUAGGUUCUAAAAUGAGUAAUUAGACAAUUUAAAUAAGUCAGGUAUGAUUAAAGUGACCGUGCUAAAACCACGGAACUCGGGAAUGCCUAACGCCUUCUUCCGGGUUAACAAAAUUCCUUACCCGGAUUUCUAUGUUUUGCGGACUGUAAAACAGAGUCAAACUUCCAAGAUUCGGGAUUUUAGUGACUUGGGACACCAUAAAUUAUCCCAAGUGGCGACUCUGAAUUUGAAUAAAUAUUCCUGUUUCGAUUAUUGUCACUUUAAUUGGAAAAACUCCCCUAUACCCUCUUUCGGGUAGAAAAAGGAGGUGUGAUAUUAAGUAAUAAAAGCAAAGUAAGAACAGUAGAGCUAAAAGACAAUGCUGAUGAACAGUAGGCGAAAAAGUAGAGAAUAUAUUCUUUGCUCAAUGAUAAGAUGAUGUUACAAAUGAUUAGGGUCCCCUUUAUAUAAUAGGGGAAUCCCUAAGUAAGGUAUAUUUCUCUUUACAGUAAGGAAUAUUCUUGGUACAAUUGUCUAACCGCCUAGUACGAAAUCAUACAAUCUUAUUCCGGGAUUUGCGCCAUGAUUUUGGGGACGUGGCAAGAAUCUAGUUUAUUCUGUUACAAACCCAUAACGGUACUAUUUCGGGGUCGAGCACACUCGGCCUCGGUAUUCCUCGAACUCCUAUCUCCGGGCAUUGCACUCUGUCUUCGAGCUCGAGUCUGGUCCACCGAUUUCGAACUCGAUCUCGCCCGGACUCGGUCCUAUAAAUCGGGGGCAUAUGAUUUUGACCGUAUACAGUGACAAAUCUAGGAUUUGAAGUUAAUGGGUGCUCGAUUGCCUUUAGCGUAGAUCUAACACUAGUCACAAAAUCAUAGUCGAGGUAUAUUUUGGAUUAAUUUGGUUUAUUAAUUAUAUUUUCUGUUCAUAAUCACUAAAGCGAAAUGAGUUCAAUCCGGUUUUUUGACAAGGUUAAAUUUUCUAUAUACACUAUCAAAAUAGAGAAAGGGGAUUGACACAGAUUUUUGAAUAUUUUACAACAACAAUACUAACAUAUCCAUUAUAGUCCCACAAAUGGAGUAUGAGAAAGGUAGUGUAUAUGUAGAUCUUAAUUACCCUUACUUGGCAAGGUAGAGAGGCUAUUUCCGAUAGAUUUUCGGCUUAAAAAAACGUGAAAAGAGAAAAAAGGAAGAAGACGAAGAAAAAGAAAGAAGAAGGAGAUAAAGGACGAUAAGGAAAAAGGGAGAAAAAGUAAAAGAUGAGGACGACAACAACAACAAAAAGUAAGAUUUUUGAAUAUUUUAAAACGUCAAAAUUGGGUCUAAGCUAUGAUACUCGUCGAUUUUCAUCUAUAGUAGUACUCUUCUAACUUUAUAUAAUAAUAUAAUAUCCAAAUUCAUGAGACGCUUUGAUAUCUCGGUAUACAAUUUCAACUAUUAGCUUUUUAUUUUUUUAAUAAAAGCAUAAAGUAAGGUAAUUGGAGUGUAUUAGUCAAUUUAGAAAUAAAAAGUUUAAAAAAAAAAUAUUUUAAGAACAAAUUGGCCUAACUAUUAACCUACUAGUCAAAGGAAUUAAGGAAGAAAUGCAAAUAUUAUGGAUAAAAGAUUCUUAGGUAUUAAAUUGCAAACCUACCUUCAGAACUGUUUCUCAUAAGUUGGAUAAUAAUUAAUUGAUUUUUGUUUUUAUUCACGCGUAAACUUAACGAGAGAAAUAUAAAUCUAGUUUGGCCAAAUUCAACCAUAACUGGGCAAAGUAAAGGAGAUAAAUAAAGAGCAAUGAAUGAAAAUCGAGAUGAAUGGGGCGGAAAGAACGGAAAGAAAGUGUAACAUGGAAGAGGGUACUAAAAUCUAUAGGCUACAAAAAGAGUUCGAAAAAUUGGAGAAAAAAUCAGUGCUUUAAAAUAGGAGAGCGGCAAUAAAAUUGGAAAAUAUUGAACAUUAUCGGACGACUUAUCAGAUUAUGUUGACUAACAAGUAAAAAAGCUGAAUAUGAAAUUAGUGAUGUUGGGUGGACUCGAACCGAUGCCCUUUGAGAGUAAAAGUGACUUCGAAACCAAAGCAGAGCUCAUUCACGUCAGGGGUGCUGAUGUAUUCUUUAUGAUCAAUUUGUAAGGAAUUUCCACAUAAUUAUCAGAGUUUCAACUGAAGUCCACAGUGAUAUACGUGGAUUUGCUGUUGUUUGGAAUUCAUUGGCCCGACUAUUCAAGAUUUGGGUCGCAUAUGGCCAUAAAAGGAAGCGCUCCCUAUUAGGAGACCACUGAUUAUCGGUGGAGAAUCUCAUCAAUCUCACCACACUUCUUGAUGGUGGUUCUUUAAGAUGUUACUCCUAUCUUUAAAAAAACAUGCACAUUUUAAAUUUUAAUUUAAUUUUUUAAUGAUUUUUUGACAUUUCUUAAAAGAUUUACAGUUAUAAUUAUCGACAAUAAAUAUACUUUUUAAGGUUUGUAUACGGUCAAAAUCAGGCUUGACCUGGAGCGAGGCAGGCCAAGGUUCAACCCUAUGUUAUAUUGGACCACGACGUAAAGUUAGACUGCCGAGCUCGAGACCUAGAGACCGAUCGAGACAGAGGUCGGCUAAGAUCGGAGUCAUGCAGGAAGGAAAUCGAGCAAGAUUGAGGAAAACUUACCGAGCCAAAUAACGGAAUACCAAAAUAUCUGCAACCGGGCGAGGAUCACGGCGGAAAUCUCGGCACGUAUCAAGAAGAGGCCGAUUAUUUAGCCAAUCAUGAGAUUUCCUUCUGUAUUUAGAAUUGUACCAUAAGUAGAAUUCCUCUACUAUAUAAAGGGGUUCUAAUCAUUUUGUAAGGAGGAUAUUCAUGCAUAACAAAGCAAUAUAUUACAUUUUCUCUCUUAAGCUCUGUUGUUCAGUUCAUACUUUUCAAUUAUACGUCCAUUCGGUUCGAGGGUGAUCUAGCUCGAGGGCCAAGCUGUGGUUUAUAUUGGUUUGCUCUAUUUUACAGUUAAAUUCUAACAUUAUUCUCGUAUUUGUUAGUUUGUGCCAAGUGAAAUCACAUAUCCUUAAAACAACUUAUAAAUUUAAUUGUUAUCCAAUUAAAAUGGUAAACAGUUUGGCGCCCACCGUGAGGCUAAGGAUAAUACUGAUUUUCUAGUACAAAUUUUCGUAACACGCAUUAUUUUACACUUGUUCUUUGAAGUGUCUUUGAUUAUAGGGUUAAAAAUGUCAAACUCUCAACACCUCAACACAUUGACAAUGAUCUCAGCCGCCACGACGAAAAUGAGAACAUCUUACUAGGA